rnacentral:rRNA from 1 species
GACGAACGCUGGCGGCGUGCUUAACACAUGCAAGUCGAAGAUAGUGGCGCACGGGUGAGUAAUACGUGGGUAACCUGCCCUCCUUUUUGGGAUAAGCCUUGGAAAGGGGGUCUAAUACCGAAUAAAGGGGGGUGGGCUCUCGCACUAUGUGCUUGUUGGUGGGGUGCUGGCCUACCAAGGCGGUGACGGGUAGCCGGGCUGAGAGGGUGACCAGCCACGUACGGACUGACAGACGGACCAGCGACCGACGGGAGGCGGCAGUAGGGGAUAUUGCUCAAUGCGAGAAUGCCUGAUGCAGGUAGGGCGAGGGGGGGAUGAAGGCUUUCUGGUUGUCAACUUCUUUCGCUAUCGAACGGGUAUGUUGAGAAGAAGCACCGGCUAACUACGUGCCAGCAGCCGCGGUAAUAC